AGAUGAGAGAUGUCAAUAUUUUGGUCCAAAUGGAUGUUUUAGGUGGUUUUGGACUGUUCCGGAUGGGUGGGGGACCUGGUAUGGACAAGCCUGACCGUUUGUCCUUGAGCCGUAGAUGGUCAACAAUCUGCUAGCUGUCUUGCUCUGACUGGUGCACUGGACAUGAUUUCAAUAGUCAGCCAGACCAUGAUUGAGCUUAAGGAUUGUGCUGCGGAUGCAGCCUGUGCAGUUUCGGGAGAAAGUCACUGUGUUGGGCAAUGCGGUCUGGUAUCAGGUCUGGAUGAUCCUUGCCUGACUGCGGGUUUGUGUACACCUCAAUCCCACUCUGUGUCCUGAACAGAGGCCGCAGUGGUGCAGCGCUUGUGGACGAUCCAUCAACAUCCUGAAAGGUCAACACUACACCAAGCUGGGAAAAUUGAUCCUGAUAGUCAUCCCCAGGUAGUGGAAUGAAUGUACACUGAACUACAGAGGAAUCACACCCAAAUGACUUUCCUGCCACGACAUUAGUGUGGCCACUCGCGUAGGAAUUCCUUAGCAAACGUGCUCUUUUGCAUGGUGACUGUGGGCAUUUUUGCAAAACUUACGCUUUCAACACUGGAUUUUAAAGGGAAUACUUAAUAAAAUGUCGCUAACAGGACUUAUUUAUAUGAGAGAGACUAUCUGGAUGCGCAUUAAGUGUCACUUUGUGUCGUAAGCUGUUGAAGGAGCGAUUUGCGCCUUUUUAAGUGUUAAUUUUGGGUAGCCGGCUUGUAUCGGCUUGAAAGCUGCAAAUUAUGCCUCUCAUCAUAAUAGCAUUAAUUUUUGUAAAUGCAAUGUGUAUGUUUAGAUUGUAAGUGAAGCUUUUAAUAAUAAUUUUCUUAAAAAACAUGAUUUUAUAUGCUGUCAGUGAGUUUUUUAUUGAAAAAAGUGCUUAAAAUUUAAAAAAAAGUCUCCUAUUUCAUCAAGAAAAGUACACUGAUUCACAAUCAAUACAUUUAUUUGGGCCUUUUGCUGAUAUAUUGGUGAAUUUCGCAUGCAAUGAUACCAGUUUUUGCCAUAAAAGUUACGCAUAACAAUAAUUGGAGACACAAAAUCAGCUGUCGUCACUUAGACUAAAAAUCAUGCAUUCCGACUUGACUGCGGCCAAUUUAGUCACCGCUUUAAAUGGCCAUUUUAAG